GACGAACGCUGGCGGCGUGCUUAACACAUGCAAGUCGAACGGGUCUGCCCUGUUUUUUGCGGGGUGGGUCAGUGGCGAACGGGUGAGUAACACGUGAGUAACCUGCCCCUCACUUCUGGAUAACCGCUUGAAAGGGUGGCUAAUACGGGGUGUUCUGGCUGUGCCGCAUGGUGUGGCUGGGAAAGAUUCACUUUUGUGGUGUUUUGGUGGGGGAUGGGCUCGCGGCCUAUCAGCUUGUUGGUGGGGUGAUGGCCUGCCAAGGCUUUGACGGGUAGCCGGCCUGGGGGGGUGGGCGGUCACACGGGGACUGAGAGACGGCCCAGACUCCUGCGGGAGGCAGCAGUGGGGUGUAGUGCACAAUGGGCGGAAGCCUGAUGCAGCGACGUCGCGUGAGGGAUGGAGGCCUUCGGGUUGUGAACCUCUUUCGCCGGUGAAGAAGGUCCUGCUCUUUGUGGUGGGGUUGACGGUAGCCGGGUUAUGAAGCGCCGGCUAACUACGUG
rnacentral:rRNA from 1 species